AGUCAAGUAAUUAAGUGCAUGUGGUGGAUGCCUUGGCAGUCAGAGGCGAUGAAAGACGUGAUAGCCUGCGAAAAGCUCCGGGGAGGCGGC
rnacentral:rRNA from 1 species